rnacentral:lncRNA from 1 species
AGGAGCUACCCAAAUUUGAGCAAUACAUAUUUGCUGAUUAUUCAAACUUCAUCAAUGUGGAAAACGUGUAUGAGGACAUAAUCCAUCAGAUACUGGAAAAAGACGUCAGCAUGGUGGUCAAGGAGGCAGCCAGCAAGAAGAAAUUCAACCUGUUCACAGAGAGCAGGUACAAUUUCAGUGUGUCCAGCUUAUCCUUCACACCCCCAGGAUCCGCACCCAGCAGCCCAGCACGCUUAAAUACAUCCCCAAGCCUGCGCACGCCCCUGCCACCCUCUCCGCUGCUGGGCAACGGCCUGACAGCAGACAAAUCUGUGACUGUUCACUUGUCAGAAAAUAGUGCAAUGGGUCAAGCUCUGACUAUCAUGGAAAAAAUCGAUGAAGGAGAAAGGGCACUCUUAGAGGAGAGCAGUGAUGACAUAUUUUUCACUGCUGAAACAUCAACCUCGGAUACAUCAGCUGAGACUAAACCAGAACUCACCACAGACACCAUGGAAGCUUCGGUCUGUUCCACCCCUUUAGUUAAGGAAACAGAAGCUGUAGAAAGUGCUGGUACUAGUGAUUCACCAAAAGGAGUUGAUGCAACUGCUUCAGACUUUGCUUAUAAACCCACAGUAGUAAUCAACCCAAUCUGUAUGAAAACCUCUGGUUCUGAUGAUGAGCCUGCUGAAACUGAGGAUCACAGGAAAGAAACGAUAAAGACGUCAAAUGAUCAAGCCCAAAUUAAUUCACCAACAUGUGAUGAAAGCACAUAUCCGAUCGCAGUAUGUUUAUCUAUUGAAGAUGCAAAAGAUGGAGAUAUCUACAAAGAGUUCACAGGCAAACAUAUCAUGGAUCUUUCAGAAAAAGCCUCAGAAUCCCAGUCGUCACCAAACCUAGAGGAUGAAACCAGGCCCCUGGACUGUGUGAAGGAGAUCCGUGACCUUGUAGUGGAGGUUAUUGAAAUAGAGGAUGUGGUUCCGCCUUCCAAAGGAAAUGGAGAAAAAAUUCAAGUUCAAACGUUCGAGGAACAAGAUGCUGUAGUUUAAGUUUCAAUGACCAUGUCGGGUCAGGAUUCAAAACUUAUUCACCUCUCCAUUUUCUGUGUGAGGAGACAAAUUGCACAUUUUGAAGUUGGCUUCAUCAUUGUGCAGAAAGUAAUUAUAGUUUACUGUAGAUAUGUGUGUCUAUAUACAGCACCUUUCAAAAGUUUGGGAUCAGUAAGAUUUUUUAAAAAUAAAUUAAUACUUUUAUUCAGUAAGG